rnacentral:rRNA from 1 species
GCUAUAACUGGUCCUACCUAACUACAAACCAACCCUCUAACAUAAACAAACCAUUUGACCACCUCAGUAGAUGAGAUCGAACAGCUAACAGGCACCAACAGUACCGCAAGGGAACGAAGCACAAGCAAAAAAAAGCAAAGAUAAAACCUUGUACCUUUUAGCAUCACGAUUUAGCAAGGAUAAAAGACAGAAGCACCAAAGUCCCAACCCCCCGAAACCAGAUGAGCUACUUCUGAGGCAGCCACCUAGGGCGCACCCGUCUCUGUAGCAAGAGUGGGAAGACCUCAGAGUAGAGGUGAAACGCCUAUCGAACCUGGAGAUAGCUGGCUACCUAAACAAGAACCUAAGUUCAACUUUAGACCAACAGCACAAUCAAUAGUGCUCUAAAGACAGUCAAUAGGGGUACAGCUCUAUUGACACAGGAUACAACCUGAACUUGAGAGGACCAACCAGCCACCCAACCCGUAGGCCCUAAAGCAGCCACCCAAAAAAAUAUCGUUAAAGAAUCCCAUCAAAAAUUCAAACACUCACCAAAAACUCCAAAGCGACUAAAGGUUAAUCUAUCCCAAUAGAUAAGACCAUGCUAAAACUACUAAUAAGAACACAUCUCUCCGCGUAACCCUCCACUAGACACAGAAACCCCACUAGUAAUUAACAGACCAAAAAAGGCACAAUACUACACAAUACCCACCAAUUUUUCCCCACUGUGACCCCAACACAGGUGCGCUAUAAAGAAAGAUAAAACAUUACAAAAGGAACUCGGCAAACACGAACUCCAACUGUUUAACAAAAACAUAACCUUUAGCCAAACAAAUAUUAAAGGCAACGCCUGCCCAGUGAACAUUAAACGGCCGCGGUACCCUAACCGUGCAAAGGUAGCAUAAUCAUUUGUCUACUAAUUAUAGACCUGUAUGAAAGGCAAAAUGAGAGUUCCACUGUCUCCUGUAAUCAAUCAAUAAAACUGAUCUCCCAGUCCAAAAGCUAGGAUACGACCAUAAGACCAGAAGACCCUGUGAAGCUUAAAAUAACCUAUUAACCACACUAAUAGCUACUUUAGGUUGGGGCGACCUUGGAAAAAAAAGAAACUUCCAAAAAUAUGACCUUCCUCAUCACUAGGCCCACAAGCCUCUAACGACCCAGACAACUGACUACUGAACCAAGUUACUCCAGGGAUAACAGCGCCAUCUUCUUCAAGAGCCCAUAUCAAAAAGAAGGUUUACGACCUCGAUGUUGGAUCAGGACACCCUAAUGGUGCAGCCGCUAUUGAGGGUUCGUUUGUUCAACGAUUAACAGUCCCACGUGAUCUGAGUUCAGACCGGAGCAAUCCAGGUCAGUUUCUAUCUAUGCCCAAGCCCUCUCCAGUACGAAAGGACAGAGAUGGCGGAGCCUAUACCAAAAGCACGCUCUAACAAAAGAAAUAAACCAAUUCAAUAUCAAACAUUUACCCCAUCAACCUAGAUCAGGUUAUUAAGAACCCCUCUUAAUC